GAGAGCCGUAUAUGCCGAAAGGUGUACGUACGGUUCGGAGGGGGUUGGUAGGAGACCUGCUUCUUAGCAAGGCGCCUACCUUCUACCCUAC
rfam:Thermoactinomyces sp. DSM 45891 genome assembly, contig: Ga0066384_104